rnacentral:rRNA from 1 species
UUGAUCCUGGCUCAGGAUGAACGCUGGCGGUCUGCUUAACACAUGCAAGUCGAACGGAAUCCUUCGGGAUUUAGUGGCGGACGGGUGAGUAACACGUAAGAACCUGCCUCUAGGACGGGGACAACAGUUGGAAACGACUGCUAAACCCGGAUGAGCCGAAAGGUAAAAGAUUAAUCGCCUAGAGAGGGGCUUGCGUCUGAUUAGCUAGUUGGUGAGGUAAGAGCCCACCAAGGCGACGAUCAGUAGCUGGUCUGAGAGGAUGAUCAGCCACACUGGGACUGAGACACGGCCCAGACUCCUACGGGAGGCAGCAGUGGGGAAUUUUCCGCAAUGGGCGAAAGCCUGACGGAGCAAGACCGCGUGGGGGAGGAAGGUUCUUGGAUUGUCAACCCCUUUUCUCAGGGAAGAACACAAUGACGGUACCUGAGGAAAAAGCAUCGGCUAACUCCGUGCCAGCAGCCGCGGUAAUACGGGGGAUGCAAGCGUUAUCCGGAAUGAUUGGGCGUAAAGAGUCCGUAGGUAGUCAUCCAAGUCUGCUGUUAAAGAGCGAGGCUUAACCUCGUAAAGGCAGUGGAAACUGGAAGACUAGAGUGUAGUAGGGGCAGAGGGAAUUCCUGGUGUAGCGGUGAAAUGCGUAGAGAUCAGGAAGAACACCGGUGGCGAAGGCGCUCUGCUGGGCUAUAACUGACACUGAGGGACGAAAGCUAGGGGAGCGAAUGGGAUUAGAUACCCCAGUAGUCCUAGCGGUAAACGAUGGAAACUAGGUGUGGCCUGUAUCGACCCGGGCCGUGCCGAAGCAAACGCGUUAAGUUUCCCGCCUGGGGAGUACGCACGCAAGUGUGAAACUCAAAGGAAUUGACGGGGGCCCGCACAAGCGGUGGAGUAUGUGGUUUAAUUCGAUGCAACGCGAAGAACCUUACCAGGACUUGACAUCUCUGGAAUCUCCUUGAAAGGGGAGAGUGCCGUAAGGAACCAGAAGACAGGUGCUGCAUGGCUGUCGUCAGCUCGUGUCGUGAGAUGUUGGGUUAAGUCCCGCAACGAGCGCAACCCUCGUCGUUAGUUGCCAUCAUUAAGUUGGGAACUCUAGCGAGACUGCCGGUGACAAACCGGAGGAAGGUGAGGAUGACGUCAAGUCAGCAUGGCCCUUACGUCCUGGGCGACACACGUACUACAAUGCGAGGGACAGAGAGCAGCCAACCCGCGAGGGAGAGCGAAUCUCAUAAACCCUGGCACAGUUCAGAUUGCAGGCUGCAACUCGCCUGCAUGAAGGAGGAAUCGCUAGUAAUCGCAGGUCAGCAUACUGCGGUGAAUCCGUUCCCGGGCCUUGUACACACCGCCCGUCACACCAUGGAAGUGAGCCACGCCCGAAGUCAUUACUCUAACCCGAAAGGGAGGAGGGUGCCGAAGGCGGGGUUGAUGACUGGGGUGAAGUCGUAACAAGGUAGCCGUACCGGAAGGUGUGGCUGGAUCACCUCCUUUUAGGGAGACCUACUUUUGAUGAGAGUGCCAAAUCCAAAACAACAGCACCCUCAAAAGUCAUCCCAGGUCGUUACGAGAAAAAUGAAAACUUCCACACAUGCUUUCAGACUCGGAAAUCCGGUUCAAAACCUAGGACAAUUCAGCACCUAGCUUCAAUCGUAAAGGAACCUGAAUGCUGGACUAGAAAGUCCACACAGAACCUUGAAAAUUGUAGAUCAACUAAAACUGGCCUGACUUCGUAGUUAGAACUUUGAGCCAUGGAAACGGAAACCCUCCCCUGAGCCUAUGACAUAACCACAUCCGCAACACCGCAUUCAAGUUAAGUGGUCAAGAUAGAAAGGACUAACUGCGGACAACUUGUUACACACUGGCUAGAAGGACGUGACGACUGACAAUAACUUCCGGGAACUGGAAUCAAGCACCCAGCCAAAUGUGGUCGAUGGGGCAUCCAAAACCACCCCAAUGCAUAAAAAGUGGGCUGAGCGAACCGGCAACUGAUCACUUUGUAACCUAGAAACAAAGCAAACAAUUUCCCAUACGGUAACCAACGGAAAUCAAACCAUCCGUUACCAUUGGCCAAGGGCACCCCCUCACCCCCGAUAAAAAGGGAAAAACCGCCGAAAAUGAAUCCUUUCAAAAUAAACCUACAUUCCAAUAGGGCCGAAGACCGGAACCCCCCCCCGUAGGUAUCCGGCCCGAAAAAAUCCGGGAGGAAACCGAGGAUAAAAUAACUUUUUAGGGGCCAAACGACUUUUUAACCCCAAAACAAUCUUAAAAAACCCGGAGAACCGGGGAACCACCUCAGGGUUACUCUCUAACAACCUUAAUCUUUCUUU